rnacentral:rRNA from 1 species
UACAGAGGAGGCAAGCGUUAUUCGGAAUUAUUGGGCGUAAAGAACGCGUAGGCGGCUUUGCAAGUGACGGGUGAAAUCCCUCGGCUUAACCGAGGAACUGCCUGUCAAACUGCAUGGCUUGAGACCGGGAGAGGUGAGUGGAAUUCCCAGUGUAGCGGUGAAAUGCGUAGAUAUUGGGAGGAACACCAGUGGCGAAGGCGGCUCACUGGCCCGGUACUGACGCUGAGGUGCGAAAGCGUGGGGAGCAAACAGG